CGGGGGAUUGUGGGUAUUGAGGUUUGGCGUCACGUUUUUGAUCCAGCAUGGCAGCGAAACAGAAGAGAAAAUUGGAGGACCUUAGCAUGGAUGAGUUCCUGUUGUCAGGAUUUGACUCUCCAGACGAGGAUGCCUCAGAAGAGGAGACUCCCAGACCGCAGAAAAAGGAUUCUACGUGUCCUAAUACUAGUGAAAAGAAGAAAGGCAGAGCAUCUAUGCACAAGGACCAGCUGUCCAGAUUAAAAAACAAAGAUCCAGACUUUUACAAAUUUCUUCAAGAGAACGACCAAUCUCUGCUAAAUUUUGAUGAUACUGACAGCUCUGAGGACGAGGAUGAAAAAACAUACCACAGAUUGCCGUCUGUUCUGGAGGAGGCCAGCUCUGAUGAUGACGAUGAAGAGGGGCAGAAGAGUCCACGGAAAUCUAAAAAGACAGUGGAGACCAUUAAAGUCACGAUCAAAAUGAUUGACGGAUGGAAGACUGCUUUGAAGACGGAUCCAGCUCCUCGUUUCUUCAGAGAGGUCACCCAGGCCUUCAAGGCUGCUAUUGCAACAACAAUGGGUGAAGGAGGAGGCCAAUGUCGCUAUAAAGUAGCUGACAGCUCAGUGUUCAACGCUCUGGUCCUGUUCUGCAUCAAAGACAUGUAUAUGAUUCUGCAGAAGAUGCUUAAUCUGAAGCCCAGCAAAGACCAAAACAAGCCGGUGCUCCCGUCCUCCAGUUCAAAAUGGCACAGGAAUCUGACCGAUAUCAAGAUGUAUCUCAGUGGAGUUGUUCAGCUGUUAUCAAGUCUCACUGAAGCAUCAGUUGUCGGUGCGGUUCUGAAGCACGCUAACCAGCUUGUACUUUAUUACCUUUCUCUGCCCAAACAGUGCCGCCACCUCAUUAAGCAACUUCUGAAGCAGUGGAGCACAGGAGAGGAGAUGAGUCGGGUUCUCGCCUUUCUGGCUCUAAACAAAAUCUGCAGACACAAACAGAAAACGUAUCUGAACUCUAUUCUCAAGCAAAUGUACAUUUCUUACGUACAAAACUGCAAGUUCACAUCUCCCAACGUGCUUCCCAUGGUCAACUUCAUGCAGCGGACCUUAACAGAGAUGUACUCUCUGGACACACAGGCCACCUAUCAGCACGGCUUCAUAUACAUCCGGCAGCUGGCCAUUCAUCUGAGGAAUGCCAUGACCAUGAAGAAAAAGGAAACAUAUCAGUCGGUGUAUAACUGGCAGUAUAUUCACUGUCUGUACCUGUGGAGCCGGGUCCUCAGCACCCUUCAUCCCAGUGACGUCCUCCAUCCUCUCAUCUAUCCACUCUGUCAAGUCAUAAUCGGCACAAUCAAGCUGGUGCCCACUGCGAAAUACUACCCUCUGAGGAUGCACUGCUGCCGAGUCCUCACUCUGCUGUCAAGCAGCACCAACACGUUUGUGCCAGUUCUGCCUUUCCUCCUGGAGAUUUUUCAGCAAGUUGACUUCAACAAAAAGCCGGGUCGAAUGAGUAAGAAACCCAUUAACUUUGCAGUCAUCCUGAAGCUAAACAAGGUCAACCUGAUGGAGAAAGCCUACAAGGACGGGUUGAUGGACCAACUCUAUGACCUGAUCCUGGAGUACUUCCACACUCAGGCCAACUCCAUCAGCUUUCCUGAGCUGGCUCUGCCCACCGUUAUUCAGCUGAAGUCUUUCCUGAAAGAAUGCAAAGUGGCCAAUUACUCCAAGCCCAUGCGCCAGCUGUUGGACAAAGUUCAGGAAAACAGCAACUACAUCACAACUCAGAGGCAAAAGGCCACCUUUGGAGUGGCUGAUACAGCUGCUGUGGCGACCUGGGAGAAGAAGGUCAAGGAGGAGGGGACUCCCCUCAGCAGGUACCACAGCCAGUGGAAGAAGCUGCGGGAGAAGGAGAUCCAGCUGGAGAUCUCUGGCAAAGAAAGGAUGGAGGAUCUGGACCUUCCUGAGAUCAAACGCAAAAAGAUUCAGGACAGGAAGAUGGAGGACAAGAAGGAGUUUAAGGACCUGUUCCAGUCUGACAGCAGCUCAGACGAAGAGAACGGAGGUCUCAAAAUCAAGGGUAAGAAGAGCAGCCCUGCAUCUGAUGAUGAAGAUGACGAUGACCUUGAAGAUCUGUCUGACUUCAGUGAUGAUGAGGGGAUGGAGGAAGGAGAUUCAGGUCUGUAUGCAUUUAACACAAGAUAAUAUUUAAUCCCAUUUUUUCUAUAGCAUUAAGAUUGAAUGAGAACAAGCAACAACUAUUUUAAUUAUUAGGAAAUGUUUUUUUUUUUUUUUGGUGGUGGGGGGGCUUCUAGUCAACACACUAACAAAUUUCAAUUGACCUGAGUUAAUUUGUCUUGAAAUUUGUGCAUGAAAAUAACAAAUCAGUUUUACUCAGUUUCAAAGUUUUAACCCUCCUCAACAAUUACAAGCAAGAACAGGAGAAAUCGUCUGCUUUGA